rnacentral:rRNA from 1 species
UCUUUAUAGAUAAUAAUAUAAAGUCUAGCCUGCCCACUGAGUAUUUAAAUGGCCGCGGUAUUUUGACCGUGCUAAGGUAGCAUAAUCAUUAGUUUUUUAAUUGAAAGCUGGAAUGAAGGGUUGGAUGAAAGAAAAGCUGUCUCUAUUAAAUUAUUAUAGAAUUUUAUUUUUAAGUUCAAAAGCUUAAAUAUUAUUAAAAGACGAGAAGACCCUUUAGAGUUUAAUAAAUUAUGUUUAUUUUAUUAUUUAGAAUUUAAUUAGAAAAUUAAAUAAAUUUAUUUAAUUGGGGUGAUUUAAAAAUUUAUUUAACUUUUUUUUUAUUUUUAUAUUAGUUUAUAGAUAUUUGAUCCAAUAUUUUUGAUUAAAAGAUAAAAUUACCUUAGGGAUAACAGCGUAAUUUUAUUAGAGAGUUCUUAUCGAUAAUAAAGAUUGCGACCUCGAUGUUGGAUUAAAA